GGCCGCGGAGGGCGGUGGCCUGGCCCGGCCCGCGUGCGCAGCAGGCCCCGGCUGCCCCGAAACCGCCGCUUUUUGGCACCAAGGUGGAAGAGCAGCCAGAGAGGAAGCUUGGAGGGGCCUGAGCGCUGGCGGGCCUCGGUAAAGCCGUGUACAAAAUGGACAGAGCCUUCACAACACCCUUCAGCCUUGAGGUAAAGGCUUUUAACUAUCCCCUACGGACUGCGAAAGGAAAGGACGGUUCCCAGCCCAUGCUGUGGCUCUGGUCUCUUCCCAAUCCUUGCUGCUGCAACUGGAGCUCCGCAGAGGCAGCAUCCCCAGGAGAAGAAAUUAAAACGAGGAGAGAGACUCCAGUACGAAUGCAGACAGCGGGCUGUUAAAUAACUCUCUGUGCAUGCAGGCACACAAUGCCUGGAAUAAAGCAAAAGCCUCCAAACCA
rnacentral:lncRNA from 1 species